rnacentral:lncRNA from 1 species
UUGGAUGCAGUUUUCCUUUGAACUUUUUGCUCGACUGAAACAUCACUGUCUUCUGAUGUCGCGCAUUCUUCUUCUUCCCAUGAAAAAGCAGCGAGACCUUCACCCCAACUCUCCUCGUCAUCAUAAUCUCGUUGGUCUUUCCACAGCUUCAUGGCUGUGGUUAGAGAGGUUUGAGGUUUGGCCUGUUUUUGGAUAUUUGUAUCAUGAGAUUUAU